CCCAUAUUCCCAGUGCCCCAGGAUUCCAAAUACCCAUAUUCACAGUGCCCUAGGUUCCAAAGUCCCCAUAUUCCCGGUGACCCAGGUUUCCAAGUCAUCAUAUCUCCAGUGCCCCAGGAUUCCAAAUACCCAUAUUCCCAGUGCCCUAGGUUCCAAAGUCCCCAUAUUCCCAGUGCCCCAGGAUUCCAAAUACCCAUAUUCACAGUACCCUAGGUUCCAAAGUCCCCAUAUUCCCGGUGACCCAGGUUUCCAAGUCAUCAUAUCUCCAGUGCCCCAGG
ensembl:lncRNA